GACGAACCGUGCGAACGUUGUUCGGAUUCACUGGGCUUAAAGGGCGCGUAGGCGGGUUCUCAAGUCCGGGGUGAAAUCCUCUCGCUUAACGAGAGAACUGCCCCGGAUACUGGGAACCUCGAGGGAGGUAGGGGCAUGUGGAACUUCCGGUGGAGCGGUGAAAUGCGUAGAUAUCGGAAGGAACGCCGGUGGCGAAAGCGACGUGCUGGACCUUUUCUGACGCUGAGGCGCGAAAGCCAGGGGAGCAAACGGG
rnacentral:rRNA from 1 species